rnacentral:rRNA from 1 species
GACGAACGCUGGCGGCGUGCUUAACACAUGCAAGUCGAACGGAAAGGCCCUGCUUUUGUGGGGUGCUCGCGUGGCGAACGGGUGAGUAACACGUGAGUAACCUGCCCUUGACUUUGGGAUAACUUCAGGAAACUGGGGCUAAUACCGGAUAGGAGCUCCUGCUGCAUGGUGGGGGUUGGAAAGUUUCGGCGGUUGUGGAUGGACUCGCGGGUUAUCAGCUUGUUGGUGGGGUAGUGGCUUACCAAGGCUUUGGCGGGUAGCCGGCCUGAGAGGGUGACCAGCGACAUUGGGACUGAGAUACGGCGCAGACUCCUACGGGAGGCAGCAGUGGGGAAUAUGGCACAAUGGGCGGGAGCCUGAUGCAGCAACGCCGCGUGCGGGAUGACGGCCUUCGGGGUGUAAACCGCUUUCGCCUGUGACGAAGCGUGAGUGACGGUAAUGGGUAAAGAAGCACCGGCUAACUACGUG